AUUGAACGCUGGCGGCAGGCCUAACACAUGCAAGUCGAGCGAGCGGCGGCCGGGGGAGUAAUGUAGGGGGACUGCCCGAUAGAGGGGGAUAACUACUGGAAACGGUGGCUAAUACCGCAUACUAUCGGAUUACCGAUAUGGGAUUAGCUAGUAGGUGGGGUAAUGGCUCACCUAGGCGACGAUUCCUAGCUGGUCUGAGAGGAUGAUCAGCCACACUGGGACUGAGACACGGCCCAGACUCCUACGGAGGCAGCAGUGGGGAAUAUUGCACAAUGGGCGCAAGCCUGAUGCAGCCACGCCGCGUGUAUGAAGAAGGCCUUAGGGUUGUAAAGUACUUUCAGCGGGGAGGCGUUACCCGCAGAAGAAGCACCGGCUAACUCCGUGCCAGCAGCCGCGGUAAUAC
rnacentral:rRNA from 1 species